UUUCUUUUUCUUUUUUAAAGAAAAGACAAAUAUAUGAAAAAAAAAAAGUACGAUGUAUCAUUUUGGCUGCCAGUUGCUAUGAUGUUAUUGUACACUGAACGGUAACAUUGAGUCUGUUGCCCUUUGCUACCCAGUUGUUCAAAUAUUAGUGCUCUUGUUUUUAUAACAUUGUUUUAAGCUUUAACUAACAAUCUAAAUUGAUAUUGAAAUCAACCUACUUUAGCCUCCAGCAUCUUUAGCAUUUAUUAAUCUGCAGAAAACUUCUAACCCUUUAACUCAAUCGGGUCAGAUCUUUAUGGGUGAUCUAUUAUUGCAUGCUGCAACAGAUGAAACCAACCAUCAGUGUAAGACAACUCCAGCUGUCCACUUAAAAGUCGCAAACAUUUUAGCUUUAGACAAAAGAAUGCCCCGAAAAUUUGAAUAUGGAAUAUAAAUCAUUCAUUGCAGAAAUUUGGAAAGAGAUGAAACAACUCUUCAUAAGGUAAUGGUAUUUUCAUGUCAAGUUAAAUUAUGAGCUCAAUUGAAUUACUUUCGGCUGCGACCCUUUUUCUAGAACAAAGGGUAGGGCAUUGAGGGUGUUCAAAAAGAUGGUAGAAUUUUCAGGCACAUACCAGUAUAUUGUCAAAGUCACUCAGCUUUUGGCUACCAUGAAUUUAAGCUUUUGCAACCAGUUCACGUGUUGAUCUUGCUGUACAUGGAGGAGAAGAUAGUUGGUUAAGUGUUCUCCAAUUCCUCUGGCAACUAGAUAUUCCUUGAGCGCGACUUGUAAUUGAGGGUCCAAAGAA
rnacentral:lncRNA from 1 species